rnacentral:rRNA from 1 species
GAGUUUGAUCCUGGCUCAGAACGUACGCUGGCGGCACGCUAACACAUGCAAGUCGAACGAAGUAGCAAUACUUAGUGGCAGACGGGUGAGUAACAUGUAGGUAUCUGCCCUUUGGCCUGGAAUAACACGAGGAAACUUGUGCUAAUACCGGAUAAGUCUUUACGGAGAAAGCUUUAUGCACCAUUGGAUGAGCCUGCACUUGAUUAGUUUGUUGGUGGGGUAAUGGCCUACCAAGACUGUGAUCAAUAGCUGAUUUGAGAGGAUGAUCAGCCACAUUGGGACUGAGACACGGCCCAAACUCCUACGGGAGGCAGCAGUGGGGAAUCUUGCACAAUGGAGGAAACUCUGAUGCAGCGAUGCCGCGUGAGUGCAAGAAGGCCUUUGGGUUGUAAAGCUCUUUCGUCGGGGAAGAAAAUGACUGUMCCCGAAUAAGAAGGUCCGGCUAACUUCGUGCCAGCAGCCGCGGUAAUACGAAGGGACCUAGCGUAGUUCGGAUUUACUGGGCUUAAAGAGUUCGUAGGUUGUUGAAAAAGUUGGUGGUGAAAUCCCAGAGCUUAACUCUGGAACUGCCAUCAAAACUUUUCAGCUAGAGUAUGAUAGAGGAAAGCAGAAUUUCUAGUGUAGAGGUGAAAUUCGUAGAUAUUAGAAAGAAUACCAAUUGCGAAGCAGCUUUCUGGAUCAUUACUGACACUGAGGRACGAAAGCAUGGGUAGCGAAGAGGAUUAGAUACCCUCGUAGUCCAUGCCGUAAACGAUGUGUGUUARACGUUG